CCUACGGGUGGCAGCAGUGGGGAAUAUUUGGCAAUGGACGCAAGUCUGACCCAGCAACGCCGCGUGAAGGAAGAAGGCUUUCGGGUUGUAAACUUCUUUUAUGGGGGAGGAGCAGAAUACGGUAUCCCUUGAAUAAGCCACGGCUAACUACGUGCCAGCAGGCGCGGGAAUCCGUAGGGGGCAAGCGAUGUCCGGAUUUACUGGGUGUAAAGGGAGUGCAGCCGGAGAGAAAAGUCAGAUGUGAAAUCCACGGGGUCAACCCGUGAACUGCAUUUGAAACUGUUUCCCUUGAGUGUAGGAGAGGUAAUCGGAAUUCCUAGUGUAGCGGUGAAAUGCGUAGAUAUAAGGAAGAACACCAGUGGCGAAGGCGGAUUACUGGACGGUAACUGACGGUGAGGCGCGAAAGCGUGGGGAGCAAACAGGAUUAGAUACCCUAGUAGUC
rnacentral:rRNA from 1 species